GCUGCUUGGCGCAGACUUUGCAGCAUCCGCAGCCAUCCCUCACCAAGCUCACCCCAGGAGGACACGUGGGCUUCUGCCGGGGGCAUCUGCAGGGCCAGCGGCAGACCUCUUCUCGCUGAUACACUUCCAAUGCUGCCCCAGGCCGUCCUCCAGGGGUCGAGUCCGGUGGCGCACUGCCCCGUGCCCUGCAGCAGAGCUUCAUUUGGUAAUAAAGGUGAUGUUAGAGGAGGAUCUGAGACCGCUCACGGAUCUAGAGGAGAUAUAUGCCAAACAGGUGGGCUACAGUCUGAUUCUAGAAGUCUUUCCUGAGCUCGUAGCCCCAGCUUACUGCCUCUGAGCAGCCUCCACCCUACCCCCUGGCGUCCUAUACUCCAACACAUCUCACCCCUGGGACACCGAAACACACCACGUGUGCACACACAUGUGGCCACCAGCCUGUGCCCUCCUGUGUUGUCACCAGGACCUCUUGUAUCCUUCUUGGUCUUUGUUCUUUCUCUAUCCACGUCUUGUCUUCCUGAAGAUCCAGCAGGUAAGACCUAUCUUCCCACGACGCCUCUCCCUUUGGC